rnacentral:lncRNA from 1 species
GGAAACUUUCGACUGGAUAAAUUGUAUAGCCAUAUUUGUUUGUUUUUGCUAGCUCAAUGCACGUUCCCAAUGGUAGUACCCCAAUGCCCCCAUGUGAGCACUCUUCCUCAGACGAUUCGUAAGACCUUAAGCCAGUCGCUCUUUAAGCCGUAUUUAUGCACAGCUUUUGGUCCAUGUUUAGCUUUCAUUUCCCUUUCUUUUUUAAAUACCCUUGCAGGGAGUACUGUGACUUUUAGGCUUAUAAAGUCUCUGACAUCAGUCCAACAAAAGUUGGCUGUGGAAAAGUGCCCAAUUCGUAGCAUAAUACAAAAAUCUUUGUAACAUUUUUGAACUGUCACUAGUCAAUAUGGCAAAAUGUAAAAAAUGUAAGAAAACUAAAGCUUAUAAAAGAAGGCUACAAAAUUACUCGAGUAAUACGCAAAAAGCUCUCGGUUUGACCAAUAAUGGAUUUUGGAACUUCUUGCGGGAGUUCAGAAGGAAGCAUUACAGGCUGCCGCCAAAAACUUUGAUCCCACAUGGCACCAGGGCUUGGUGUAAGCUCACAAGCAAACAGAAGGAAAAGUAUACCAAAAUGGUAAUAAAGAUUAUAUUUUGUUAUAUUUUGUACUUAUCUUUCAAUUAUAUUCAACAGAAACGGGCCGCGUGGGAACAAGAUCUUUCGUUACUGUGUUUAUGGCAGAUUUUUAAACCCAAACCCCUUACCGUGGCCUCACUUGAUCCAUAUCAAAGCAGCAAAAUAACCAAACAAAUACUUCUUUAAUAUUUUGUGUAUGUCAAAUUUCAAAAUCUGUAAUAGCAUUCAAAUUUCCCCAUCUGAUUAUGUGCCGCCAGUGUUUCUAAUGCAACGACAGUCGAAAAUAAAUUUCAUUUCCUA